rnacentral:lncRNA from 1 species
CAUUCUAAGCUAAUUUAGUUGGUGUAAUGUGGUCCCUCAAGGGUAGUUGCAGGUGCAUUCACUUGACCUCUACGAAGGAUGAACAUUUCCCAUGAGUUUUCCACUUGUGUUUCAUCCUUGAUGAAGACAUUGUGGCUUAAGGAGGUAGUACAAUGAUGUUGACACUGGAGGCAUUCUGAAUAUUUGGUGUGACUUCUACGAACUACCUGGCACACAGUAGGUCCUGCCUUUGCUUCAGUUUCCUGUGAGACAAAUUGGAGUUUGACAUCCCUCCUCAAGAUGCCUCCUCCAAGACCAGAGUUCCCUGUGGCUGAGCUGUGUGUGCAGAGAGCACCUUUCUCUCUCCUUGGGAAGCCCUUUGAAUGUAGAAACUCUGCAUUCCUCAUUCCUGUGCCCUCCCUCUCCCCAGUGGCUAGGACUUAACACCAAAGGGUGCUCAGGAAACAAAUGGAAGCAGGGCACUAACCAACUCCAGGAGGACUGGGAGCAUGUUUCCCGCUGAAUCCCUGCCAUCUUGACCACUGCCUGGCAAGAGAAGACACUCUACCAACAUUUUUUUAGUGCUGCAUCCCUUGGAGGGCAUGAGGCAAGGCCACGUGAGACACAGUCGGUGCUAGAUUCCUGGAGGCAGAGCUGAGGGU